ACGCUCGACACCUACGGGGAGGCAGCAGUGGGGAAUAUUGCACAAUGGGGGAAACCUUGAUGCAGCGACGCCGCGUGAGUGAAGAAGUAUUUCGGUAUGUAAAGCUCUAUCAGCAGGGAAGAGAAUGACGGUACCUGACUAAGAAGCUCCGGCUAAAUACGUGCAAGCAGCCGCGGUAAUCUGAGCGGGCUGGCAAGGC
rnacentral:rRNA from 1 species